GGCUGAACUGUUAAAACUAAAAGAGCUCGCAGACUACACCCUGACCGUCGGGUCGUAAGAAGCUAAAUUAAUAGACGGAAUCUAAGCAUGUAGAGCCAACAGCAGAGAGCCAGCGGACGCGGGUUCAAUUCCCGCCGCCUCCACCA
rnacentral:tmRNA from 1 species